rnacentral:tRNA from 1 species
GCGGGUGUAACUCAGUUGGUAGAGUACUUGCUUCCCAAGCAAGCUGUCGCGCGUUCGAGUCGCGUCGCCCGCUCCA